rnacentral:rRNA from 1 species
GAUGAACGCUGGCGGUAUGCUUAACACAUGCAAGUCGAACGGACUCUUCGGAGUUAGUGGCGGACGGGUGAGUAACGCGUGAGAAUCUGGCUUUGGGUUCGGGACAACCACUGGAAACGGUGGCUAAUACCGGAUGUGCCGAGAGGUAAAAGAGAAAUUGCCUGAAGAUGAGCUCGCGUCUGAUUAGCUAGUUGGUGAGGUAAAGGCUCACCAAGGCAGCGAUCAGUAGCUGGUCUGAGAGGAUGACCAGCCACACUGGGACUGAGACACGGCCCAGACGCCUACGGGAGGCAGCAGUGGGGAAUGUUCCGCAAUGGGCGAAAGCCUGACGGAGCAAUACCGCGUGAGGGAAGAAGGCUCUUGGGUUGUAAACCUCUUUUCUUAGGGAAGAACAAAAUGACGGUACCUAAGGAAUCAGCAUCGGCUAACUCCGUG